rnacentral:rRNA from 1 species
GGCUCAGGAUGAACGCUAGCUACAGGCUUAACACAUGCAAGUCGAGGGGCAGCAUGAUUGAAGCUUGCUUCAAUUGAUGGCGACCGGCGCACGGGUGAGUAACACGUAUCCAACCUUCCGUACACUCAGGGAUAGCCUUUCGAAAGAAAGAUUAAUACCUGAUGGUAUCUUAAGCACACAUGUAAUUAAGAUUAAAGAUUUAUCGGUGUACGAUGGGGAUGCGUUCCAUUAGGUAGUAGGCGGGGUAACGGCCCACCUAGCCUACGAUGGAUAGGGGUUCUGAGAGGAAGGUCCCCCACAUUGGAACUGAGACACGGUCCAAACUCCUACGGGAGGCAGCAGUGAGGAAUAUUGGUCAAUGGACGCAAGUCUGAACCAGCCAUGCCGCGUGCAGGAAGACGGCUCUAUGAGUUGUAAACUGCUUUUGUACGAGGGUAAACGCUCUUACGUGUAAGAGCCUGAAAGUAUCGUACGAAUAAGGAUCGGCUAACUCCGUG